AUUUAUUAUGAAUCCCCUGGAUGUCUUCCCUCAGGGCCUGGAGUUCCCCAGUGAUGGACUUAUGGAGGGCGGCAUUAGCCUCCUUCAGGUCAGUCUUAGUGGGUAGGUUCUGUAUUAGUGAUACCCAGUCCAGCUGGGUUAGGGGGGUGUCUGUCGGAUGGUGUACCUGUUCAAGGCCGUGCUGUCCGUCCUUGGGUGAGGUCGGGCGGGUCAGGCCCGAGG